AAAUUGAAGAGUUUGAUCAUGGCUCAGAUUGAACGCUGGCGGCAGGCCUAACACAUGCAAGUCGAACGGUAACAGGAAGCAGCUUGCUGCUUCGCUGACGAGUGGCGGACGGGUGAGUAAUGUCUGGGAAACUGCCUGAUGGAGGGGGAUAACUACUGGAAACGGUAGCUAAUACCGCAUAAUGUCGCAAGAUCAAAGAGGGGGACCUUCGGGCCUCUUGCCAUCGGAUGUGCCCAGAUGGGAUUAGCUUGUUGGUGGGGUAACGGCUCACCAAGGCGACGAUCCCUAGCUGGUCUGAGAGGAUGACCAGCCACACUGGAACUGAGACACGGUCCAGACUCCUACGGGAGGCAGCAGUGGGGAAUAUUGCACAAUGGGCGCAAGCCUGAUGCAGCCAUGC
rnacentral:rRNA from 1 species